AAUACGUAGGGAGCAAGCGUUGUCCGGAUUUAUUGGGCGUAAAGAGCUCGUAGGCGGUUCGGUAAGUCGGGUGUGAAAACUCUGGGCUCAACCCGGAGAGGCCACCCGAUACUGCUGUGACUUGAGUCUGGUAGGGGAGCACGGAAUUCCUGGUGUAGCGGUGAAAUGCACAGAUAUCAGGAGGAACACCGGUGGCGAAGGCGGUGCUCUGGGCCAGUACUGACGCUGAGGAGCGAAAGCGUGGGGAGCGAACAGG
rnacentral:rRNA from 1 species